rnacentral:sRNA from 1 species
CCAGGCAGAUAUAUUUAGGAAUAGGCCGUGAAAGCUCGCUUUCUAAGGCCUAUUCCUAAAUAUAUCUAUUUGGCGAGAGCCAAUAGCAGGAAAACCCUCCGGUUUUCCCGCUGUCUGG